rnacentral:tRNA from 1 species
GCACGCGUAGUUCAACCGGGAGAACACCAAAACACCCGUUUGCGGCACCUUGUCCAUUCGUGGGCCGAUCGUGGACGGUUAUCCCUCCAACGGAGGAGAUGCUGGUUCGAAUCCAGCCGUGUGCA